rnacentral:lncRNA from 1 species
CCGGGCCGCUCCAAAGGCUCUCUGGGCUUCACUAUCAACCAAUCUUCUAUAGUGAUCAACUAUUCUUCGAAUCCCUUCUAGACUUCUUCUGACCACGGAUGACCCUACUCCGAACUUCUUUCGAACUUUGUUAAUAUCCGAGCUUCUCCGACAACGAGAUUUCUACAGUAACCAGACUCCAUCCAAAUUUCUACGACGGUCGACUGCCUUCCGGAUUCCACCCAAGUUCCUGCGAGAGCCGAACUUCUACAGCAAGCAGUCUACUCUAAACUCCUACUGCAGGUGGUCUACUUCGGAUAUCUACUCUGGAUCCCAGA